GUUGAACGCUGGCGGCAUGCCUAACACAUGCAAGUCGAACGGUAACGGGCCUUCGGGUUCCUACGAGUGGCGAACAGGGGAGCAAUACAUCGGAACGCGCCCGAUCGUGGCGGAUAACGAGGCGAAAGCUCUGCUAAUGACGCACUAGAACUACGGAUACAACCCGGGGAGCGCAAGGGCUUGCGCAGACGGAACUGGCGAUGGGAGAUUCGAUAGUGGGAGGGGUUAAAGAUUACCAAGCCGACGAUCUGUAGCUGAUCUGAGCGGAUGGUCAGCCACACUGCGCCGGAAACACGGCCCGGACUCCUCCGGGAGGCGGCGGUGGGGAAUUUAGGACAAUGGGCGCAAGGCUGAUCCAGCCCUGCCGCGUGGAGGAUAGGGGCCUUCGGGUUUUGAACUGCUUUUGUUCGGAACGAAGAGCAUUCUGUUAAUACAGUGGGGUCAUGACGGUACCGUAAGAAUAAGCACCGGCUAACUACGUG
rnacentral:rRNA from 1 species